UCCCUGGUGGCUCAGAGGUUAAAGUGUCUGCCUCCAAUGCGGGAGACCCGGGUUUGAUCCCUGGGUUGGGAA
rnacentral:tRNA from 1 species